rnacentral:tRNA from 1 species
GCCCGGGUAGCUCAGUCUGGAAUUAGAGCACUACCCUCCUAAGGAAGGGGUCGCAGGUUCGAAUCCUGUCUCGGGCG